rnacentral:rRNA from 1 species
UGGGGAAUAUUGCACAAUGGGCGGAAGCCUGAUGCAGCGACGCCGCGUGGGGGAUGAAGGCCUUCGGGUUGUAAACUCCUUUCGACAGGGACGAAGCGUAAGUGACGGUACCUGUAUAAGAAGCACCGGCUAACUACGUGCCAGCAGCCGCGGUAAUACGUAGGGUGCGAGCGUUGUCCGGAAUUACUAGGCGUAAAGAGCUCGUAGGUGGUUUGUCGCGUCGUCUGUGAAAUUCCGGGGCUUAACUCCGGGCGUGCAGGCGAUACGGGCUGACUUGAGUGCUGUAGGGGAGACUGGAAUUCCUGGUGUAGCGGUGAAAUGCGCAGAUAUCAGGAGGAAUACCGAUGGCGAAGGCAGGUCUCUGGGCAGUAACUGACGCUGAGGAGCGAAAGCAUGGGUAGCGAACAGGAUUAGAUACCCUGGUAGUCCAUGCCGUAAACGGUGGGCGCUAGGUGUAGGGGGCUUCCACGUCUUCUGUGCCGUAGCUAACGCAUUAAGCGCCCCGCCUGGGGAGUACGGCCGCAAGGCUA